rnacentral:ncRNA from 1 species
UGCAUAGAGCGGCAAAUAGGUCACCCGUACAGCGGGUGUGAAAAGGGAAGUCCGGUGCAAAUCCGGCGCGGUCCCGCCACUGUGAAUGGGAGAACCCAACAUGCCACUGUUCGCAUCUUGCGAAUGGGAAGGGUUGGUGUUUCGAUGACCAUGAGCCAGGAGACCUGCCUAUUUGCAACUGCUAUC